GAUAAACGCUAGCGGCAGGCCUAACACAUGCAAGUCGAGGGGCAGCGGAAGAAGUAGCUUGCUACUUCUGCCGGCGACCGGCGCACGGGUGCGUAAACGCGUAUGCAACCUACCUUUAACAGGGGGAUAAUCCGAAGAAAUUUGGUCUAAUACCCCAUAAUAUUUCAGAAGGCAUCUUUUGAGGUUGAAAACUCCGGUGGUUAAAGAUGGGCAUGCGUUGUAUUAGCUAGAUGGUGAGGUAACGGCUCACCAUUGCGAUGAUACAUAGGGGGACUGAGAGGUUUUCCCCCCACACUGGUACUGAGACACGGACCAGACUCCUACGGGAGGCAGCAGUGAGGAAUAUUGCACAAUGGGCGAAAGCCUGAUGCAGCGACGCCGCGUGGGCGAAGAAGGCCUUCGGGUUGUAAAGCCCUGUCUGGAGGGACGAAGUAAUGACGGUACCUCCGGAGGAAGCCACGGCUAACUACGUG
rnacentral:rRNA from 1 species